CCUACGGGAGGCAGCAGUGAGGAAUAUUGGUCAAUGGACGGAAGUCUGAACCAGCGAUGCCGCGUGCAGGAAGACGGCUCUAUGAGUGGUAAACUGCUUUUGUACAAGGGUAAACCUGAAUACGUGUAUUCAGCUGAAAGUACUGUACGAAUAAGGAUGGGCUAACUCCGUGCAAGCAGCCGCGGUAAUACGGAGGAUCCAAGCGUUAUCAGGAUUUAUUGGGUUUAACGGGUGCGUAGGCGGAUUGAUAAGUUAGAGGUGAAAUGUCCGAGCUUAACUCGGGAACUGCCUCUAAUACUGUUGAUCUAGAGAGUAGAUGCGGUAGGCGGAAUGUAUGGUGUAGCGGUGAAAUGCUUAGAGAUCAUACAGAACACCGAUUGCGAAGGCAGCUUACCAAUCUAUAUCUGACGUUGAGGCACGAAAGCGUGGGGAGCAAACAGGAUUAGAUACCCUUGUAGUC
rnacentral:rRNA from 1 species